GGAACAUACCAGGCGGAGCAGUGCAGGCUGGAGAAGAACUAUGUCACUAUCUGCCUCCUUUUCCUGCAAGAGGAACGGGCUUCCACCGCUACAUUUACAUCCUUUUCCAGCAGGAGGGGCCCAUACGCUUCCAGGAGGAUUUGAGGCCGUCGCCAUGUCAUUCACUGGUAGACCGUACAUUCUAAACAGUGGAUUUCUACAGAAAACACCAGGACAGCAUGACACCAGCUGGUCUGGCGUUCUUCCAGUGCCAAUGGGAUGAAUCUGUCACCAGCACCUUUGACAACACCCUCAACAUGCGAGAGCCAGUGUUUGAAUUCAUCCGUCCUCCAGUUUACCAUCCACCGCAAGUGAAAUACCCCCACGGACAACCCCUGCGCUACCUGGACAGAUACAGAGAUGGAAAGGAGCAAACCUAUGGCAUAUACUGAUGAGCAUACGUACAUGUUGAAAUGCUGAGAAAUGUCUGGUGGUCACACCACUUAUCUCCUUUUUUAUGUGUUUUGGGGUUCCGUUUGAGAAUAAAAUGAGGAAUAAGAUUUUAAUAAAAAUUUCUUUAUCAUGGUUAAUAUAAUAUGCCUCUGCAUCUUUGUGGUACAACUAACAAUGUCAUCAUUAUCACUGUUUUAUUACUGUACAUCUUGUAUUAAUGAUUAGUUUUACCUUUCAGUUUUGUUUUUUUCACCCGUAAAUGUUUAAAAAGAAUAAAGCAAUAAGCCACUCAAACUCAUAUGGAGACUGGCUGCAGAAAUAUGACUCCUUGUUUUCCAAAGUAGCUCAGAUGGGAGAA